UCUCCUGUAGCUCGAUGGUAGAGCGUCCGACAGGUGUGCAGAAGGUCAUAGGUUCGACUGCUGUUGGGAGAA
rnacentral:tRNA from 1 species